AAUUGCUAGUAAUCGCGGAUCAGCAUGCCGCGGUGAAUACGUUCCCGGGCCUUGUACACACCGCCCGUCACACCAUGGGAGUCGGAAAUGCCCGAAGUCUGUGACCCAACCUUAGGGAGGGAGCAGCCGAAGGCAGGUCGGAUGACUGGGGUGAAGUCGUAACAAGGUAAC
rnacentral:rRNA from 1 species